rnacentral:tRNA from 2 species
GCAGUCGUGGCCGAGUGGCUAAGGUGAUGGACUAGAAAUCUAUUGGGGUCUCCCCGCACAUGUUCGAAUCGUGUCGACUGCG